CAUGUAUUCUCAAAGUUGAGAUGACAAAAUCAAUCUCUUUAUCAAACAUUCAAAUAUGAUACGUGAGAAGCAUUAUCAAUUCCAUAUAAUCUCUUUUAUCAAACAUGCAUAUAUAUAACUAUUAACACAGAUUUUAAAAGUCAAGAGGAAUUUAAUUUUGUAAAUAUUUUCAUUGAUUCUGACAAUAUGUCUUCCCAUAUUUAUAGAAUCCAUAUAUUCUUUUGGUUUGAUUGGCGAUGACUUAUUGUGAUUUAUGUUAACUUUUGUCUACUAUUAUUUAUCUAUUUUCCAUAUAAUAUAUUCAAAAUAAGUGUUCAAUUGUGUUUAAAAAAAAGGAGCGUCCUAGAAUUGUUCUUUGCUUUUUAUUCAUCAUCAAAGCUCGCAACGUAAUACAAGUCUCUGGUUCUCUCUUUUCUUGUCUUUUUUUUAUGAUAUAUUUCUCUGUUUUUCAUUAUAUCAUGUAUUAAAAUGGUUUGAUUAUUAUAUCUGUUGCUUUCAAGUUUACGUUUGGUUUCAUUAUUUUAUUUGUUUAGACUAGUAGCAAGAAGUUUGAUGUUUACCUGUUUGUUUGUGAUAAAUAUUUUUGUGUGUAUGUUCUUACUAAUAUUGAUUAACUUCACAUAAGAUUGCAAUGGGUGAUAAAGAAAAAAAUCAGUAUACCCUAUGGAAUUCAGAGGAAACCAAGGUUUUAAUAGAGUUGCUUGUGGAGGGAAUUCAACGUGCAUGGCGUGACAGUAAUGGAAUAAUGAACAAAGCAACGGUGGAACAUAAGAUACUACCAGUCUUGAACGAAAGACUUGGAUGCCAAAAAACCCACAAGCAUUACCUAAGCAGGAUCAAGUUUCUAAAGGGUCAAUAUCAAUGCUAUGUUGAUCUUUUAAACAACAGUUCAGGGUUUGGAUGGGAUCCUAUCAUGAAAAGAUUUGUGGCUUCUAACGAAGUAUGGAAUGACUAUUUAAAGGGACAUCCAAAUCACAAGUUCUUACGCUAUGACUCUAGUGAACAGUUUGAUGAUUUGAAAAUCAUAUUUGAUUGUGAAACUGCUAAUGGUAGUUCUGCAAUUGGCUUGGGUGAUACCACAGAUGCUCGCGUCUUAACGGUUGGUGACAGUCAAGUACAAGACAACUUGAAUUUUGAGGACAUCAACGAUGAUGUUUAUGCUCAGCAACCAUCCCCAGAAAAUGGUGUCAAAAGGCGUGUGGAAAAACUUGUCUCGAGAAAACGAUCUCGAUCAGACGCAUCUAGCAGUGCAGUUGAGAUAAACAGUGAUCAAAGUGAUGCUAUGGUAAUGAUGACCAGCAAGAUCCUUACUUCCAUAACACAGAGAGAAGAAAGACAACAAAAAGAAGCUGAGAAAAGAGAAGCUGAAAAGAAGAAAAAUAGUGUAUGCUAUUAAAGAGGUUCCUGAUUUGGAUGAUCGUAUCAAAUUUAAAGCUGUGACCCUUAUCUAUUCCUUGGGAAUGAAAGAUGUCUUCACUGAUAUGUCCAUAGAAGAACGCUAUGGUUGGAUCCAAAGAAAUGUCAACUAAGAUUGAUCUUUGUUUUAUUAUAUCUGUUUUAGACUGUUUUGUUAUUUCUUUACAAUCAUUCUAGACUGUUUUUUUUUUAAUACCAAACUGGUUUUAGUUUAAUAUACAUGAUGGGGCUUUUAAAUAUUUUUUUUGCUUAGCAAAACAAAAUUUCAUGCUGUUGUUAUACCACGUAGCUUAUUUUAUUGUUAGCAUCUGGUAAAUGAUCUAUGUAACUUUAUUGUUAGUGUCUUGGUUAGUCUAUUAGUUUUUAAAGAUUCUUCGUGUAUUUCAGUUAUUAAUAUAAAUAGUAAUCUCUUUUUGUAGGUGUUUUAUCAUGGAGAGCACCUUUGAAGAAGAACAACAAAUGUAUGACGAAAUGCAAGCAAACCAAAUGGAAGAAGACGAGUCAGAUUUAGAUAUUUUGCUGGUGAUGUUAAAUAACAUAGCAACAACGUAUGUGAGGAUUGACAAUCGCAAACAACGUAUGUGAGGAGUGAAAAUCGCAUACAACGCCCUAUUCGUCGGCCAAUCACUAACAUUGGUUAUGAUUACAUUCAAAA